rnacentral:rRNA from 1 species
AGUGAACGCUGGCGGUAGGCCUAACACAUGCAAGUCGAACGGCAGCACAGGAGAGCUUGCUCUCUGGGUGGCGAGUGGCGGACGGGUGAGGAAUACAUCGGAAUCUACUCUGUCGUGGGGGAUAACGUAGGGAAACUUACGCUAAUACCGCAUACGACCUACGGGUGAAAGCAGGGGACCUUCGGGCCUUGCGCGAUUGAAUGAGCCGAUGUCGGAUUAGCUAGUUGGCGGGGUAAAGGCCCACCAAGGCGACGAUCCGUAGCUGGUCUGAGAGGAUGUUCAGCCACACUGGAACUGAGACACGGUCCAGACUCCUCCGGGAGGCAGCAGUGGGGAAUAUUGGACAAUGGGCGCAAGCCUGAUCCAGCCAUACCGCGUGGGUGAAGAAGGCCUUCGGGUUGUAAAGCCCUUUUGUUGGGAAAGAAAUCCAGCUGGCUAAUACCCGGUUGGGAUGACGGUACCCAAAGAAUAAGCACCGGCUAACUUCGUGCCAGCAGCCGCCGUAG